rnacentral:lncRNA from 1 species
UUAUUUAGAGGAGGACUCUCCUCUAUAUAAAUCUCUGCAAGGAAGAAGAAAGAGGAGGGGAGUUUUCUCCUACCUGCUCUCUACACUUGCCACCAUUAUUCUCUCCAUAAUUCUCUACAGUUUUUCAUAAACACUUAGUUUUAGUUUUCAUUGUUCUUUGAGGAUCUAAGGAGCUUUUCAAGAAGUGGAGACUGAGGACCAAUCUUCUUCCUACUUGAAGAAAUUCUGGAUCUUAUGGGAGCUUUUUAUUUUAUUGUUUAUGUCUUUC